UCACACAUGUGUGAUUCAAGAUUACACAUGUGUGAUUCACGAUCACACAUGUGUGAUUUUAUAUCCCACAUGUGUGA
rnacentral:miRNA from 1 species